GCCUACGGGACGCAGCAGUGGGGAAUAUUGGGCAAUGGGCGCAAGCCUGACCCAGCAACGCCGCGUGAAGGAAGUAGGCUUUCGGGUUGUAAACUUCUUUUCUGGGGGACGAAGAAAGUGACGGUACCCCAGGAAUAAGCCACGGCUAACUACGUGCCAGCAGCCGCGGUAAUACGUAGGUGGCAAGCGUUAUCCGGAUUUAUUGGGUGUAAAGGGCGUGUAGGCGGGAAUGCAAGUCAGAUGUGAAAACUAUGGGCUCAACCCAUAGCCUGCAUUUGAAACUGUA
rnacentral:rRNA from 1 species